UGUUAAAAUUUCUGUCUAUUUGUACUAUUAAAAACUAGCGUGGCUGAUAAAAUAAUAAGACAGUGACACAUGAUGUGCCACAUAUACCACAUGUUAACAUAUGAGAUUGGUUUUUAAUAGUAAAAAUGAAUGAAAUUUUUAAUA
rfam:Gossypium arboreum cultivar AKA8401 contig_62416_3, whole genome shotgun sequence.